UCUUGCUCCAGUCAUGACUCUUCUACUUGGCAUGGUUGUUUUACAAGAUGAAGUCAUAAAAUGGAGUCACAUUUGCUCCUACUAUCACAAUCAGAAACGAAAGGGGCUCAGUGAGACAGAAGUCAAGUAAAGGAAGCAAGUUGAAUGAUGUUAAAGGGAUCUGCCCUCAAACCAUCCACUUCUACUAGAGAACACUUCGCCGUUGGACCAGGAAUCCAGUUUGGUACCCAGAGCUGUGCCCAAAACCUUUGCUGGUGUUUCUUUAAAGUGACCUUCUUUUUCCUUCACUGCCAGAGGUCCAAGGAGAAGUUCUGUGCAACUACAGAAAUGCAACUAGCCUGCCUCUGUGAACCAUUCAAGCAGGAAGUCACCAAGUGAAUUCAGCAUGAAGUUGUGCUCUACAGCAGGAAGAAAGGGAAAGGGAGUCUGCAGAGGACCUUUAACUGCUUAUGUGAAAUAUUUUACACCUUUAUGAAAUUAGAGUUCAGAAACAACGUAGCAAAUCUGCUAACUUUGAUUGGCCGGGGGCUCUCUUGGUGUCUGUUGUAUUGUUUUCAGAGACGUGAAGUGUUUCAUGUUUUAAAAUUUUAAUAAAACAAUCUUCCCAAAUUUGAAUUAUGGGAAGAUAAUUUGUAAAGGAAAAGAAUUCACAAACCUCCAAAAUAGAUUUGCAGAGCCAGUUUGGGCAAAGCUGAAAUAGAACACUUACUGGAAGAA